GGGAGGCUUUGAAGUGUGGACGCCAGUCUGCAUGGAGCCGACCUUGAAAUACCACCCUUUAAUGUUUGAUGUUCUAACGUGGACCCGUUACCCGGGUUGCGGACAGUGUCUGGUGGGUAGUUUGACUGGGGCGGUCUCCUCCUAAAGAGUAACGGAGGAGCACGAAGGUUGGCUAAUCCUGGUCGGACAUCAGGAGGUUAGUGCAAUGGCAUAAGCCAGCUUGACUGCGAGCGUGACGGCGCGAGCAGGUGCGAAAGCAGGUCAUAGUGAUCCGGUGGUUCUGAAUGGAAGGGCCAUCGCUCAACGGAUAAAAGGUACUCCGGGGAUAACAGGCUGAUACCGCCCAAGAGUUCAUAUCGACGGCGGUGUUUGGCACCUCGAUGUCGGCUCAUCACAUCCUGGGGCUGAAGUAGGUCCCAAGGGUAUGGCUGUUCGCCAUUUAAAGUGGUACGCGAGCUGGGUUUAGAACGUCGUGAGACAGUUCGGUCCCUAUCUGCCGUGGGCGCUGGAGAACUGAGGGGGGCUGCUCCUAGUACGAGAGGACCGGAGUGGACGCAUCACUGGUGUUCGGGUUGUCAUGCCAAUGGCACUGCCCGGUAGCUAAAUGCGGAAGAGAUAAGUGCUGAAAGCAUCUAAGCACGAAACUUGCCCCGAGAUGAGUUCUCCCUGAGACUUUAGGUCUCCUGAAGGAACGUUGAAGACGACGACGUUGAUAGGCCGGGUGUGUAAGCGCAGCGAUGCGUUGAGCUAACCGGUACUAAUGAACCGUGAGGCUUAACCUUACAACGCCGAAG
rnacentral:rRNA from 1 species